CCAGUCGGCCGGGCAGCCGCGCUUUACCAAUGUCGAAAGACGGUAAGGUGAGGAAAGUCCGGGCUCCACGGAAACACGGUGCCGGAUAACGUCCGGCGAGGGCGACCUCAGGGAAAGUGCCACAGAAAGUAAACCGCCCGUUCUCGAACGGGUAAGGGUGAAAGGGUGGGGUAAGAGCCCACCGCGUGCCUGGCGACAGGGACGGCAUGGUAAACCCCACCGGGAGCAAAACCGAAUAGGGAUGACGCGGGGCAGCUUGCUGCCUACAGCCUGUUUCCGGGCCAGUCAUCCGGGUGGGUUGCGACGAGGCAGCGUGUAAACGCUGUCCCAGAUGAAUGGCUGCCACGUUCCGGGAAACCGGAGCCAUACAGAACCCGGCUUACAGGCCGACUGGCAAU
rnacentral:RNase_P_RNA from 1 species